rnacentral:lncRNA from 14 species
GCAGAGUAAGAGAAGACUGUGUGACAGGCAAAGAGCUACUAUUGUGAGCACACCGUGGGACCAAAGAUACUUCUUUAAUUAGUCUAACUGAAGGAAAAAAUAUGAUGAUGAUGGAACUAGUGAUUGAAAUUAUGUCAGAGAAGCAUGAAGAGCAAGAUGGAAAAGAACUGCUGGUGUUGAAGUCACCUUGUAAUUUUAGGAUUGUGACAGUACACUUGGAAAGCAUCUGGAAAGAGAGGAGGACAGAAUACAGUUCUACAGAUUUGAUCUUUUCAGCAGUAUAACCUGUUUUAAUUCUAACCAAAGAUCACUGGAAUGGGAAGAGGACUUAAGAAAUUGUGAAGAAGAUUUACUUCCCUAAAGUUCUGUUAAAAAGGAGACAGA